GACAGAGGGUGCAAACGUUGUUCGGAAUUACUGGGCGUAAAGCGCGUGUAGGUGGCGAGGCAAGUCGGGUGUGAAAGCCCUGGGCUCAACCCAGGAAGUGCACUCGAUACUGCCUAGCUAGAGUCCCGGAGAGGUUGGUGGAACUCUCGGUGUAGAGGUGAAAUUCGUAGAUAUCGAGAAGAACACCGGUGGCGAAGGCGGCCAACUGGACGGUGACUGACACUGAGGUGCGAAAGCGUGGGGAGCAAACAGG
rnacentral:rRNA from 1 species